GCCAGUGUGGUGUAGUGGUUUGAGCAAUGGACUAUUGACUCUGGAGACCAGGGUUUGACUCCCUGCUUAGCCA